CUUGCUCCGCUGACGAGUGGCGAACGGGUGAGUAAUGCAUCGGAACGUGCCCAGUCGUGGGGAUAACGUAGCGAAAGUUACGCUAAUACCGCAUUACGUCCUGAGGGAGAAAAGCGGGGGGACCGUAAGGCCUCGCGCGAUUGGAGCGGCCGAUGUCGGAUUAGCUAGUUGGUGGGUAAAGGCCUACCAAGGCGACGAUCCGUAGCGGGUCUGAGAGGAUGAUCCGCCACACUGGGACUGAGACACGGCCCAGACUCCUACGGGAGGCAGCAGUGGGGAAUUUUGGACAAUGGGGGCAACCCUGAUCCAGCCAUGCCGCGUGAGUGAAGAAGGCCUUCGGGUUGUAAAGCUCUUUCAGACGGAAAGAAAACGCAUCGGUGAAUACCCGGUGUGGAUGACGGUACCGUAAGAAGAAGCACCGGCUAACUACGUG
rnacentral:rRNA from 1 species